CUUUACGGCAGUGUGGCUGGACCCGCUGCUGAGCGGGCCGCAGUUUGGGAGUGAGUGGAGGGAAUCAGAGUAGCCCGUGUUGGCAGAACUUGGAACCAUGGACGUGGGCGAACUUCUGAGCUACCAGCCAAUUGUGGAUCUACCUAUCUGUACUACCAUUCACCCACAUUUCUCCAUCUGCCUGCUUCCAUGACUUUGUGAAAGAUCUUGUUGAGAAGAAGUUGACCUGUAGGUAUUACAAACCCUUAACCUUAUCAGUCAGCAGUAACAAUAUCAAGGGACUACAACCACUUGGGCCUGACUUGUUUCACGUAAUUCCUUGCUAGCCUCUAGUGGUCUCCUUUUAUUUCCCCCAAUGGUCUCCCUUUAUUCCCCCCUAAGUGUGUGCAUAACCAUACUAUUUGGCCGAAUUUACUUCAGAUCUUUUUUUAAAGGAAGAAAAAUAUUAUAAAUACCAUUGAAGUGUCCUGUGUAUCCUUCCCUAGUCCCAUUUCAUUGUAUACCCCUCCUUAAUCCAAUAUAUUACCUUUUUUAGAAGCAACCACUGCCCUGAAUUUGGUGAUUAUUAUUACCAUGGAUUUUUUUAAAUGAUUACUGCUUAUGUGUACAUCCAGUGAUCAUUGAAAUUUUUAAUAUGCUCCAGUGAACAUUCUUUAAACACCUCCUUGUACAUAUGUCUGAGAGUUUCUCUAAUGUGUAUAUACCUAGGAGUAGAAUUGCUGUGAUGGUCAUGGAAUAUUAGUAUUAUUAGGUAACACCAAUUAGCUCCGUACUCAUUUACACUCCUAUUAGCAUGUUUUAAGUUUGUUUUUCCAUAUCCUAACCAACACGUGGUAUUGCCGGACUUCACUUUUUUAUUUUUUGCCAAUCUGAUGAUAUUCAUGGUUUGUUUGUGCAUUUUCUUAAUUUGUAAUGAGAUUGGUCCCUUUUUACCUGUUUAUGGGCUACUCCAUAUUUUUUCUUUUGUAAUCAUAAAUAUGAUUAUAUUCUUUGUCAGAAGCUGAUUUUAAGUAAUUCUAAAAGUCUGUUGUAUAUAUAGGACUUUGCAGUUAGCAGUCAUUAAAAAGAGAUUGAACCCAAGACUCUGUGUUCUUUUCAAAGGGCUGUAUUAUUUUAUUUAAUCUUACUCUCUUUUAUCUUACUAAAGACAGUCCUGUGAGGUAGCAGAGCAGGGGCAGAACAUUUGUAUAAAUGCAGUCCUGGUAAGUCAAAUGACUUAUCUAAGAUCAUGUGACUUUUAAGUGAUUCACUUGAACCCAGAUUUUUCUGAUUCCUGUUCAGCUGCUCUUUGCAUUGUACUAUGUUGCUUCUUUUAGAUCACUGCAAUUCUGCUGUUGUUCUUGGAUUGAUGUCUAAUGUUCCCUCCAGCACCUAACAGAGUGAUGUUCUGCUUCUAUUAGCCUAGUAAACACUUCCUAAGUGAAUGAAUGAAUGAUCAUGGUUCUGGUGUAGCUGACAAAACAUUCAUAAUGUCUUAAAAUGGAGGUAUUUUACCUUACAAUGAUUUUACGAGUACCUGCCUCUGUUGGGCUUGAAAAAUAAAGAAACCGAAUCAACAUUCAGCUUUCUGAUGCAGCUGCAGAAUUAAUCAGAGAAGAUGUCAGAGUAAAUCAUGGACGCUAAAGAAUAGUUUGUACUUCCAAAAAGGAAAGCUCCACACCCUUUGGAAGUGAGACGAAUAUAUAUUCAGGCUUGAACAAGGAGUAAGAAUUUUUUUGUUACGAAAAUUGAUUAAGUAGAGUCUUCAUGACUAGUGAUUUAAAUCAUAAAUCACAGCCAUGUUACUUGGCAGCCAAUCAGAUUAUAGAUCAUAAGUGAAACCUUUGGUGAUGUUAGUUUUUGAUACAUUUAUUCCCUCCCCCCCAAUUGGGGACACUGAUAAAACCAUAUUCUCCAGUAAUUACUGUGGUCUUAGUACUUGUAAUUUUUUAAAUUGGGAAUUAAGUAAAUGAGGGUUCAGUUUUAUAUUUGCAAUGAUUUUGCGUCGAGAUUUUAAGGUGUUUUUAGUACCUGGUUUUACUUCCAGAAAAAAAGGUGGUAACUUGCCAUGAUUAAUUUUUUAAAGCUUUAAAUCUUGCCGAGGCAUAAUAUAUAAUUGUAUAUGAAUAUCUGGAGUUGUCACUCAGACAUUUUAUAAAAAUAUGAUGAUGAUCCCUUUUAUUGAUACAUCACUUUAUAAUUCAUGUAAGGCCCCUUUGUAAGAUGGUUUAAUCAUCACAACAACCAUUUAAGGCAGGGAGAAUUUUCUGUCUCUGAUGACUCUGAUCCCUAAUUAUGAACUUUGGC
rnacentral:lncRNA from 1 species